GACGAACGCUGGCGGCAUGCCUAAUACAUGCAAGUCGAACGCUGAAGCACUCUGCUUGCAGAGUGCGGAUGAGUGGCGAACGGGUGAGUAACACGUGGGAAAUCUGCCUAUAAGAGGGGGAUAACAUUCGGAAACGGAUGCUAAUACCGCAUAUAUUCUUGGACCGCCUGGUCCUUGAAAGAAAGACGGCUUUGCUGUCGCUUAUAGAUGAUCCCGCGGCGUAUUAGUUAGUUGGUGGGGUAAAGGCCUACCAAGACAAUGAUACGUAGCCGACCUGAGGGGGUGAUCGGCCACACUGGAACUGAGACACGGCCCAGACUCCUACGGGAGGCAGCAGUAGGGAAUCUUCCACAAUGGGCGAAAGCCUGAUGGAGCAAUGCCGCGUGAAUGAAGAAGGUCUUCGGAUCGUAAAGUUCUGUUAUUAGAGAAGAACAAGUCAAGGAGUAACUGUCUUGACUUUGACGGUACCUAACCAGAAAGUCACGGCUAACUACGUG
rnacentral:rRNA from 1 species